GAGCCCUUCUGAUUGCCUGGAAGAAUCCAGAUAAGGAGCUGUAUAACAAAUACAGAGAAAUAUCCUUCCGGAUUUCCAGGCAACCCUUCUGAGUGUCUCCAUCCGGAGCCCUGCACACUGAUCAAGAAUGCUAUGGAUAAUAAGAAGAUGGACAUAAGGGGACGAUAAAGACCUUCUGGAAAAUUUCCCGUGGUGGGUGAAGAUUCAAAAAUGAAGAGGCAGACCCUCUAUGCUGUGAGAAAAGAGCUGGACACUGACAGACUGGACAACAUGGAGCUGAAGAGGAGCUAGCCUCUACAGACUGAAGCUAAAGACACAGAGACUCUGAAGCUCCCACACUGCACACUCU